rnacentral:lncRNA from 1 species
GAGAGUGAUGAAUGUGUCCAUUUGACUCCCGGCAAGGCAACCAGCCUUACAGGCAUCAUCUGAUCUUUUAUCCUUUAGAGAUAUCUUCUUGAAAGUGAAGCUGCAUUGUUAUCUAAGGAGCAGUAAAGGAAGAAUGAAUGUGGCAAAUCACACACUGCUCUACAGCCACCGUCUGAGAAAAGCUAAAAGGGAGAAAGAGUAAAUGGUCACCAUGAGCAACAGGAAAGCAAGGAAAGCAAACUGGGGCUCUGGCUCCUCUUUCAGAAACCAAAAGGAAUGCAGAGACUGAUUAAGCCUGAAGCAUGGUCUUGAGAAUUAACAAUAUGAAAGCUUGCACCAGUUCCUUGUUAAAGUGUAAAGCUCAUUCUUUCUAGAAUAUGCACCAACUGACACAGGAUUACCACACAAGCAAGGGUAUUUAGAUCCAGAAGUUAUGGCUGGAGAAAAAAACAUCAUUAAAAAGUCUCAAAUUUUGUUGGUUGUUUUUAUAUAAUGCAUGCUCAUCAAAAAUCAAAUUCAUGGGUAUUAUUAAAUGAUCUUAAUUAUGAGUAUAUUUUUUAAACUAGGCUUAGGAUGCUUGUGAUAUGUUAAUGUCUUUUUCUUGAGUUUGUAAAUAAAUAGAUAUCAUCAAACAUAAUUUUAAAUGUAUUAGAUGUCAACAAUUAUUUUUAAGCUAGUUCUCCUUUUUGAUAUUGGCAUUUGAAGGCUGUCAACUUAUUAAAUAAUAAUCUUUUAUUCAACUGAUGAUUGAAAUAUCCAAUUUUUCUUAGGUGCCAUUUCUGAAGGGUGAAAUGGCAGCUAUUUUAAACUAGAUAUAAGACAAAUGAGAGAGCCAGGCCAAAGUUUUUGUGGUCAGACUUUGCUUCCCUUUAAAAUGGGGUAAAGCAAGAGGAGGAAAUAUGAGUAACUUCUGAAAUAUCUUUUAAUGUAGUCAACAAUGACAUAGCUAAUAUUUAUUGAGCAUUUACUCCUUGGUAGGCAUUGAGCUAAGUGUUGACAUAUUCUCAUAUAUACCUCACAAUAACUCUUUGGUGUAGGCCUAUUAGUCUGAUUUAAUUUUCUAUCAGAGAGAAAUGAAGCUUUGAGAAGAACUUGCCAAAAUAUAAAGCUGGUAUGUACUAGAACGAGGAUUCAAAUCCAUGGAAGUCUAUUCUGUGUUCUUUUGUGUAAUAGUUACUCAUUGGUGGGCUCUAAUUUAUACAGGUAGGCUCUAAGAGCCUAGCAUCUGACCCUGGGACGGUUGGGGCAGAGAGGAGUAUUGUCUCCUGGAAUGUAUGGGUCACAUAGAGGAGGUGUGGCCCUAGAAUGGUUAUUUUUUACAUGAAAGACAAUGAUCCCUGAGCUCUUUGUUAUCUCUAAGAAUUGACUAGCUCUGGGAGGGGCACUCUCCACAGCCAGAAAGGUUUUAAGAGGUUAAAACAUUAUAUUCCAGAGUCUAUAAGUUUUAAGUAUUCUCCAACAUCAUCUCUUGUAUUCUAAAAAAAAUUAUCAGUGAGAAACUA